rnacentral:rRNA from 1 species
GACGAACGCUGGCGGCGCGCUUAACACAUGCAAGUCGAACGGAAAGGCCCUGCUUUUGUGGGGUGCUCGAGUGGCGAACGGGUGAGUAACACGUGAGUAACCUGCCCUUGACUUUGGGAUAACUUCAGGAAACUGGGGCUAAUACCGGAUAGGAGCUCCUGCUGCACGGUGGGGGUUGGAAAGUUUCGGCGGUUGGGGAUGGACUCGCGGCUUAUCAGCUUGUUGGUGGGGUAGUGGCUUACCAAGGCUUUGACGGGUAGCCGGCCUGAGAGGGUGACCGGCCACAUUGGGACUGAGAUACGGCCCAGACUCCUACGGGAGGCAGCAGUGGGGAAUAUUGCACAAUGGGCGGAAGCCUGAUGCAGCAACGCCGCGUGCGGGAUGACGGCCUUCGGGUUGUAAACCGCUUUCGCCUGUGACGAAGCGUGAGUGACGGUAAUGGGUAAAGAAGCACCGGCUAACUACGUGCCAGCAGCCGCGGUGAUACGUAGGGUGCGAGCGUUGUCCGGAUUUAUUGGGCGUAAAGGGCUCGUAGGUGGUUGAUCGCGUCGGAAGUGUAAUCUUGGGGCUUAACCCUGAGCGUGCUUUCGAUACGGGUUGACUUGAGGAAGGUAGGGGAGAAUGGAAUUCCUGGUGGAGCGGUGGAAUGCGCAGAUAUCAGGAGGAACACCAGUGGCGAAGGCGGUUCUCUGGGCCUUUCCUGACGCUGAGGAGCGAAAGCGUGGGGAGCGAACAGGCUUAGAUACCCUGGUAGUCCACGCUGUAAACGGUGGGUACUAGGUGUGGGGUCCAUUCCACGGGUUCCGUGCCGUAGCUAACGCUUUAAGUACCCCGCCUGGGGAGUACGGCCGCAAGGCUAAAACUCAAAGGAAUUGACGGGGCCCCGCACAAGCGGCGGAGCAUGCGGAUUAAUUCGAUGCAACGCGUAGAACCUUACCUGGGUUUGACAUGGAUCGGGAGUGCUCAGAGAUGGGUGUGCCUCUUUUGGGGUCGGUUCACAGGUGGUGCAUGGCUGUCGUCAGCUCGUGUCGUGAGAUGUUGGGUUAAGUCCCGCAACGAGCGCAACCCUUGUUCACUGUUGCCAGCACGUUAUGGUGGGGACUCAGUGGAGACCGCCGGGGUCAACUCGGAGGAAGGUGGGGAUGACGUCAAGUCAUCAUGCCCCUUAUGUCCAGGGCUUCACGCAUGCUACAAUGGCUGGUACAGAGAGUGGCGAGCCUGUGAGGGUGAGCGAAUCUCGGAAAGCCGGUCUCAGUUCGGAUUGGGGUCUGCAACUCGACCUCAUGAAGUCGGAGUCGCUAGUAAUCGCAGAUCAGCAACGCUGCGGUGAAUACGUUCCCGGGGCU